GUGAGAUGGAAUUAGCAUUUGGACAUGUAAUUUUAUGCUGAUUCCAUCUCAUGA
rfam:Solanum tuberosum cultivar DM 1-3 516 R44 scf00062_14, whole genome shotgun sequence.